rnacentral:tRNA from 2 species
GGGCUCGUGGUCUAGGGGUUAUGACACCGCCCUUACACGGCGGAGAUCGCCGGUUCGAAUCCGGCCGAGCCCA